rnacentral:rRNA from 1 species
GGAAUCUUGCGCAAUGGGCGAAAGCCUGACGCAGCAACGCCGCGUGCGGGAUGAAGGCCUUCGGGCUGUAAACCGCUUUCAGCAGGAACGAAAAUGACGGUACCUGCAGAAGAAGGAGCGGCCAACUACGUGCCAGCAGCCGCGGUGACACGUAGGCUCCAAGCGUUGUCCGGAUUUAUUGGGCGUAAAGAGCUCGUAGGCGGUUGAGUAAGUCGGGUGUGAAAACUCUGGGCUUAACCCGGAGACGCCAUCCGAUACUGCUCUGACUAGAGUUCAGGAGGGGAGUGGGGAAUUCCUAGUGUAGCGGUGAAAUGCGCAGAUAUUAGGAGGAACACCGGUGGCGAAGGCGCCACUCUGGACUGAAACUGACGCUGAGGAGCGAAAGCAUGGGUAUCAAACAGGAUUAGAUACCCUGGUACUCCAUGCCGUAAACGGUGGGCACUAGGUGUGGGUUCCAACUAACGGGAUCCGCGCCGUCGCUAACGCAUUAAGUGCCCCGCCUGGGGAGUACGGUCGCAAGACUAAAACUCAAAUGAAUUGACGG